GUCACAUCCUGGGGCUGGAGCAGGUCCCAAGGGUUCGGCUGUUCGCCGAUUAAAGUGGCACGCGAGCUGGGUUCAGAACGUCGUGAGACAGUUCGGUCCCUAUCCGCCGCGGGCGUAGGAUGCUUGAGGGGAGCUGUCCCUAGUACGAGAGGACCGGGAUGGACGCACCGCUAGUGAUCCGGUUGUGGCGCCAGCCGCAUCGCCGGGUAGCUAUGUGCGGACGGGAUAACCGCUGAAAGCAUAUAAGCGGGAAGCCCACCCCGAGAUAAGGCAUCCCCGGGCCGCGAGGCCCCUAAAGGCCCCUCGAAGACGACGAGGUUGAUAGGCCGGGUGUGGAAGCGCCGUAAGGCGUGGAGCUAACCGGUACUAAAUGGCCGUGAGGCUUGACCAUAU
rnacentral:rRNA from 1 species